UUGCUCUCUUACUCCCUCCCUCUCCCUUCCAACCUCACCUUCCCUGCUCUACCUGUUCUCUCUCCCCUCCCCCAGACCACGUGGACGCCAAGGCUGGUGGCGGACACGGGCCUCCCCUCCUUUUACUCUUAUAAUAAAUCGCUUAUACUUGAACAGCUUGACCCUGGAGAAGUCUCUCACCGCGAGCGAGUGUUUUUGCAACUACAAUAAUUGGCGCCCAACGUCUGAGACCCGUCCCACGCCUUCUCCAUCGGUGAGACACUUCUCCAUCACUGUGUCCAAACCGUAGUUUUUAGACGGCUGUGCAGCGUGGUUAUGUGCGAGUAUUACUAAGUGACACCAGAGAACGGACAGGAGGUGCCUGGCCAGCACCCAUCGCCCGAGCUCUGAGAGACGAGCCAACAUCAUUUAAAUAAGAGGUGA